UGGAUCCAGACUUUGAUUAUGGCUCAGGACGAACGCUGGCGGCGCGCCUAACACAUGCAAGUCGAACGGAGUUAUACCGACUGAAGUUUUCGGAUGGACGUUGAUAUAACUUAGUGGCGAACGGGUGAGUAACACGUGAGGAACCUGCCCUGAAGUGGGGGACAACAGUUGGAAACGACUGCUAAUACCGCAUAAGCCCACAGUGUCGCAUGGCACAGCGGGAAAAGGAUUUAUUCGCUUUAGGAUGGACUCGCGUCCAAUUAGGUAGAUGGUGAGGUAACGGCCCACCAUGCCGACGAUUGGUAGCCGGACUGAGAGGUUGAUCGGCCACAUUGGGACUGAGACACGGCCCAGACUCCUACGGGAGGCAGCAGUGGGGAAUAUUGCACAAUGGGGGAAACCCUGAUGCAGCGACGCCGCGUGGAGGAAGAAGGCCCUCGGGUUGUAAACUCCUGUCUUUGGGGACGAUAAUGACGGUACCCAAGGAGGAAGCCACGGCUAACUACGUGCCAGCAGCCGCGGUAAAACGUAGGUGGCAAGCGUUGUCCGGAAUUACUGGGUGUAAAGGGAGCGCAGGCGGAGCGGCAAGUUGGAGGUGAAACUCAUGGGCUCAACCCAUGAACUGCCUUCAAAACUGUCGGUCUUGAGUGGUGUAGAGGUAAGCGGAAUUCCCGGUGUAGCGGUGGAAUGCGUAGAUAUCGGGAGGAACACCAGUGGCGAAGGCGGCUUACUGGGCACUAACUGACGCUGAGGCUCGAAAGCAUGGGUAGCAAACAGGAUUAGAUACCCUGGUAGUCCAUGCCGUAAACGAUGAUUACUAGGUGUGGGGGGAUUGACCCCCUCCGUGCCGCAGUUAACACAAUAAGUAAUCCACCUGGGGAGUACGACCGCAAGGUUGCAACUCAAAGGAAUUGACGGA
rnacentral:rRNA from 1 species